UCGUUCCCUUCUGAACGAUAGUUCUCAGCUCAAAUAGAACUUUCUACAAUAAUGGAAAUGGUUUAUAUCUGAGCACUCAGCCAUUAACCAUAAAUAGCUACUGAGCACUUAAAGUAUGGCUUGUGAGACUGAUGAAUUUAAUCUUCCAUUUUAUUUAGUUUAAAUUUAAAUAGCUGUGUGUGGCUAGAGACUGCAUAUUGAACAGCCCAGAAACUCUAGAUGUUAAAUUGUUAAGUGUAGCGGCUUCAGUGUUCUUCAUUCUCCUCUAAUGACCUCCUUCAAAACAUCUCACCAUUUCCCACCACUUCACCAUCCAGUGACUUUUUGGUUUCCUCCAAUUCUCCCACAUCCCUUAAAAUCACCAGGAAAUAUUCCUUCUCCUAAGUGUUUAUUUUGUUCAGCCCAUCACUUAAACAACAAAAGGACAAAAAACUUAAAAGCAACCAGGAAAAUAGCGAUAAUUAAAAAGAUUUUAUUGUUGAUCUUAUCAUUCCCUUUAGGUGGCCUGGGUCUUUCCAAAGGGAGCCAUGAUGGGACACUUCAGUCAGUGUCAUGCUUGUUGGGACUCCAAACAGUGGUUUCUCUUGAGGGGCACAUUUGUAACUUGGUCUUUAAAAACAUUUAUGGAGUUCCCAUUGUGGCCCAGCAGAAACAAAUCCGACUAGGAACCAUGAGGUUGCAGGUUCGAUCCCUGGCCUCGUUCAGUGGGUUAAGGAUCCGGCAUUACCAUGGGCUGUGGUGUAGGUUGCAGACAUGGCUCUGAUCCCUCAUUGUUGUGGCUGUGGCGUAGGCUGGUGGCUUUAGCUCCGAUUCAACCCCUUAGCCUGGGAGCCUCCAUUUGCCGUGGGUGUAGCCCUGAAAAGCACACACACACACAAAAUUUUAUAUAGUUUCCUUAGUCAAUCAAUUAAAAGAUUAUAUUGAGUCAUUACCUGUUGAGUUUCCUGGAUUUAGUUUUUUGGAUAUAUAGUCACCAGUUUAACUCCUACCCAGUCUUCAGGACCUGGCUUCAUCACCUCCUCAAGGAUGACUUUUCCGAUCUUCACUAAUCAGAUUUCCUUAGGAUGCUUCCUCUCAGCAGUUGCACCUCUCUUUAUGGGGUUGUUGUAAAGACAACAUAAUGCACCAUAAAUACCUCUUUAUUGCCUGACACAUAGUCAGAAAAUACUAGUUGUCCCUAUUUUUAUACUAAAGACACUCCAUCCGGAUGGAGCCAUAGUGAAGUUCAUCAGUAUUGAGCUGUGAUGGAAAUCAAUCAGGAAAAAUUUUACACACAAAAAAAUAAUUUCAAGGUCACAAGCAGGCCAAGGCGGGUACUCUGGAAAGUCUGUGAUGUAAGUAUAGAUAAGGCAGAGGAAGUGCUUCAGACCUGAAUCUGGGAAAGAGAAGAGAUUGCAGCGGGUCCAUUGUAAUUUAGGACCACCUAAGUGGUAAUUCAAAGGAUAUUCGCAAGAUCAUCUGGUAAGUCCCUUUAUGGCUGGGCAAGAUAACACCUAAACCAUUGAGAUAUUUGUCCAUGUUACCUUAAAGUCCUUGUCUGUAGACUUAUUAAUAUUUUACAUAGUUGGAAGAAUAUUUUAUUGUAUAUUUUACUAAUUUGUGUAUUUUUGCUCUUUUUAAUGGUAUUUUGCCUUUAUUUCCUCACACCCUGUCUUAGGGAUUCUGAAGUAAACACAUGAAGUAUGUAUCUCUUUCUCUAUGCUCAUACACACAUACAAACAAAUAUAUGUUUUUUAAUAUAUUUAUUUAUUUAUUUAUUUAUUUUGUGUUUGGUCCUUUUAGGGCCACAUCUGCGGCAUAUGGAGGUUUCCAGGCUAGGGGUCAAAUCGGAGCUGUAGCUGCUGGCCUACACCACAGCUACAGCAGUGCCAGAUCCUUAACCCACUGAGCAAGUCCAGGAACCCAAAACCUCAUGGUUCCUAGUCAGAUUCGUUUCUACUGCGCCACAAUGGGAACUCCUUUUAAUAUUUAUUUUUACAAAAAUUGUAAUACUAUACACAUUUAUUUACAAUUUGCUUUUUAUACGUCAUGUAUAUCCAACAUCUGCUUGAGUUGCUUGUAAAAAAAACUUGGAAUGCGUACUAGAUUUGAUGUACGUUCUUAUUCCCAAUUGAAAACAAACCAGUUUUCUAUUUCUGGAAGAGCAGUAGAUAAGAUCCCAUGUUGCUGUGGCUCUGGCGUAGGCCGGCGGCUGCAAUUCCGAUUUAACCCCUAGCCUGGGAACCUCCAAAUGCUGCAGGAGCGGCCCAAGAAAUGGCAAAAAGACAAAAAAAAAAAAAAAAAAAA
rnacentral:lncRNA from 1 species